CAGGUCACUCCUACGGGAGGCAGCAGUAGGGAAUCUUGCGCAAUGGGCGAAAGCCUGACGCAGCCAUGCCGCGUGAAUGAUGAAGGUCUUAGGAUUGUAAAAUUCUUUCACCGGGGAAGAUAAUGACGGUACCCGGAGAAGAAGCCCCGGCUAACUUCGUGCCAGCAGCCGCGGUAAUACGAAGGGGGCUAGCGUUGCUCGGAAUUACUGGGCGUAAAGGGCGCGUAGGCGGACAGUUUAGUCAGAGGUGAAAGCCCAGGGCUCAACCUUGGAAUUGCCUUUGAUACUGGCUGUCUUGAGUUCGGGAGAGGUGAGUGGAAUGCCGAGUGUAGAGGUGAAAUUCGUAGAUAUUCGGCGGAACACCAGUGGCGAAGGCGACUCACUGGCCCGAUACUGACGCUGAGGCGCGAAAGCGUGGGGAGCAAACAGGAUUAGAUACCCUGGUAGUCCACGCUGUAAACGAUGAGUGCUAGUUGUCGGCAUGCAUGCAUGUCGGUGACGCAGCUAACGCAUUAAGCACUCCGCCUGGGGAGUACGGUCGCAAGAUUAAAACUCAAAGGAUUGACG
rnacentral:rRNA from 1 species